rnacentral:siRNA from 1 species
AAGCUUGUGCCUGCGUUGCAACAA